GAACGCACCUUGCGCCCUUUGGCUAUUCCGAAGGGCAUGCCUGUUUGAGUAUCAUGAACACCUCAACUCUCAUGGUUCGCCAUGAUGAGCUUGGACUCUGGGGGUCUUGCUGGCUCAUGGUCAGCUCCUCUUAAAUAAAUCAGCUUUCCAGUGUUUGGUGGCAAUCACAGGUGUGAUAACUAUCUACGCUUGUGGUGUCCUCCCAGGUAACCUUCAGCAAUGGAGGUCACUGGAGCUAAUAAAUGCACAUCUCUUGUUGUAGGGAUGGCCUUUUAGAUGUUUGAUCUCAAAUCAGGUAGGACUACCCGCUGAACUUA
rnacentral:misc_RNA from 1 species